CAGCGCCACGAGUGGCAAUCAUUUUUAUUUGGCCUAAAGCGUCCGUAGCUGGUUGAGUAAAUCUCUUGUGAAAUUGUUGAGCUUAACUCAACAGCGUGCAGGAGAGACUGCUUAGCUAGAGACCGGGAGGAGUCAGAGGUAUGCUGGGGGGAGCGGUAAAAUGCUAUAAUCCCCGGUAGACCACCUGUGGCGAAGGCGUCUGACUAGAACGGGUCUGACAGUGAGGGACGAAAGCCAGGGGAGCAAACCGGAUUAGAUACCCGAGUAGUCC
rnacentral:rRNA from 1 species